GGUUCCAGUAACUAAUAGUAAAUAGCUUUUUGGCCCAAAUCCUUAAUGUUACUCUUAAUUUGAAUGAAUAAGCACGUAUAAUGGGAACCAUGGAGACUGUCCUGGGGAAUAAAUACACAUAUAAGAAUGGCGUGAACCUGGGAGGCGGAGCUUGUGGUGAGCCGAGAUUGUGCCACUGCACUCCAGCCUGGGCGACAGAGACUCUGUCUCAAAAAAAAAAAAAAAAAAAUUAAAAAAUAAAAGUAAAACAAUUGAGUUGCACAUGAUUUAAAGGAUGGUGUUUAAGAUGGAGAAACUGCUUCUCAAAGAUCUCGGUGCCAUGAGAGAAAUUACACAUGUGAGGAUUAGUUUUUCUCUGUGUACCACAAAUCAAGCUGGGCGCCUCCAGGUAAGGCCAGGUUUCCAUGAGGCACCCUUUCAUCAAUCUCAGAUUUUUCAGAGAAAGGAGAUUUUAU
rnacentral:lncRNA from 10 species